CAACAGAUGACUGAAAGUAAGUUUAGGUCUUUUAAACCUAAUAUAGUAGAGACGCCUACUUCUGGUGA
rnacentral:tRNA from 1 species